rnacentral:rRNA from 1 species
AGUGAACGCUGGCGGUAGGCCUAACACAUGCAAGUCGAACGGCAGCACAGUAAGAGCUUGCUCUUACGGGUGGCGAGUGGCGGACGGGUGAGGAAUACAUCGGAAUCUACUUUUUCGUGGGGGAUGACGUAGGGAAACUUACGCUAAUACCGCAUACGACCUACGGGUGAAAGCAGGGGAUCUUCGGACCUUUCGCGAUUGAAUGAGCCGAUGCCGGAUUAGCUAGUUGGCGGGGUAAAGGCCCACCAAGGCGACGAUCCGUAGCUGGUCUGAGAGGAUGAUCAGCCACACUGGAACUGAGACACGGUCCAGACUCCUACGGGAGGCAGCAGUGGGGAAUAUUGGACAAUGGGCGCAAGCCUGAUCCAGCAAUACCGCGUGGGUGAAGAAGGCCUUCGGGCUGUAAAGCCCUUUUGUUGGGAAAGAAAAGCAGCAGGUUAAUACCCCGCUGUUCUGACGGUACCCAAAGAAUAAGCACCGGCUAACUUCGUG